rnacentral:rRNA from 1 species
CACGUAGGGGACGAGCGUUGUCCGGAUUCAUUGGGCGUAAAGCGCGCGUAGGCGGCUCGGAAAGUCGGGCGUGAAAUGCCGGGGCUCAACCCCGGGACUGCGUCCGAUACUUCCGAGCUGGAGGUAGGUAGGGGGAGAUCGGAAUUCCUGGUGUAGCGGUGAAAUGCGCAGAUAUCAGGAGGAACACCGGUGGCGAAGGCGGAUCUCUGGGCCUUACCUGACGCUGAGGCGCGAAAGCUAGGGGGAGCGAACAGG